UUGGUGUAGAAAUUUCAAGACUUUAGCUAAAAGGGAAAUAUUGAAAAAUUACAAACAUAAUUACCGAUAAUUUGCCGUUUUGCAGUUGUUUUUGUAUUUUUAAAAUAUUUUUCUUUUCGCUGAAGUCGUGAAAUUUCCACACCAAAUAGCAAUUUUCAAUAGCUUCAAUUUGAUAUAUAGCACGACGUUUGGGGUCAAGUAUUUCUGCUCAUAACUCAGAAAAACUAUUUUGGCUUCAUCGAAUCAUAGGCCUUCAUCAUAGCAGUUAGCCUUCCAGUUUAUUUAUAGUUCAAUGGU